AUCAAUUGUGAUGUCAAAUGCAAGGUUAGCCGGUGGAGAAACAACAGGAAAUCAUUCGGAACAUAUACGGAGGACUGGCAUUAAGCCGGCGCGAGGGCGUAUUACAAUCAAAUUAGGUAGAGAUGAUGGUUUGAAACACCCAACCUGCUAUGAAUUCGUGCACAGUUGCCCUAAUAUAACAACCUUGGCACUAAAAGGAUUCAAGUUGCAUGAUUACAAGGCCUGUAUGCUG